GUAGUCACAUGUAAAUAGUUCAUUACAAGACAAGGAAGAGAAAAGCUAAGAAUAACCGCACAAAUUAAUGAACAUUACAUAAACUCUCAAAAGAAAAACAUGCUAACAAACGCCUUUCAGAAAAAUAGGGAAGUCCAGGGCUUCAGCAGCUUAAGCCUAGGAUGUAGCAUUCUAUGAGAUGCAGCCAUAUAUAAAAGUUCAGCAACCAAUAUUAAGUAUGCCAUUCAGUAACUAUUGACAAAGUUACACUUGCAUUACCUCCAAUAUAAUCCGCCCUUU
rnacentral:misc_RNA from 1 species